GGGUAUGUAGUACAGUGGUAGAACAACUCUGAUUACUGCAGAGAAGCCUCAGGUUCGAUUCCUGGCGUACCUC